rnacentral:rRNA from 1 species
UACGUAGGGGGCAAGCGUUGUCCGGAAUCAUUGGGCGUAAAGAGCGUGUAGGCGGCCCGAUAAGUCCGCUGUGAAAGUCCAGGGCUCAACCCUGGAAUGCCGGUGGAUACUGUCGGGCUCGAGUUCGGAAGAGGUGAGUGGAAUUCCUGGUGUAGCGGUGAAAUGCGUAGAGAUCAGGAGGAACACCCGUGGCGAAGGCGGCCCCCUGGGUCGGCCCUGACGCUGAGGCGCGAAAGCGUGGGGAGCGAACGGG